GACGAACGCUGGCGGCGUGCCUAAUACAUGCAAGUAGAACGCUGAAGGAGGAGCUUGCUUCUCCGGAUGAGUUGCGAACGGGUGAGUAACGCGUAGGUAACCUGCCUGGUAGCGGGGGAUAACUAUUGGAAACGAUAGCUAAUACCGCAUAACAGUAGAUGUUGCAUGACAUUUGCUUAAAAGGUGCAAUUGCAUCACUACCAGAUGGACCUGCGUUGUAUUAGCUAGUUGGUGAGGUAACGGCUCACCAAGGCGACGAUACAUAGCCGACCUGAGAGGGUGAUCGGCCACACUGGGACUGAGACACGGCCCAGACUCCUACGUGAGGCAGCAGUAGGGAAUCUUCGGCAAUGGACGGAAGUCUGACCGAGCAACGCCGCGUGAGUGAAGAAGGUUUUCGGAUCGUAAAGCUCUGUUGUAAGAGAAGAACGAGUGUGAGAGUGGAAAGUUCACACUGUGACGGUAUCUUACCAGAAAGGGACGGCUAACUACGUG
rnacentral:rRNA from 1 species